GACGAACGCUGGCGGCGUGCCUAAUACAUGCAAGUCGAGCGAACAGAUGAGGAGCUUGCUCCUCUGACGUUAGCGGCGGACGGGUGAGUAACACGAGGAUAACCUACCUAUAAGACUGGGAUAACUUCGGGAAACCGGAGCUAAUACCGGAUAAUAUAUUGAACCGCAUGGUUCAAUAGUGAAAGACGGUUUUGCUGUCACUUAUAGAUGGAUCCGCGCCGCAUUAGCUAGUUGGUAAGGUAACGGCUUACCAAGGCAACGAUGCGUAGCCGACCUGAGAGGGUGAUCGGCCACACUGGAACUGAGACACGGUCCAGACUCCUACGGGAGGCAGCAGUAGGGAAUCUUCCGCAAUGGGCGAAAGCCUGACGGAGCAACGCCGCGUGAGUGAUGAAGGUCUUCGGAUCGUAAAACUCUGUUAUUAGGGAAGAACAAAUGUGUAAGUAACUAUGCACGUCUUGACGGUACCUAAUCAGAAAGCCACGGCUAACUACGUG
rnacentral:rRNA from 1 species